AACGAACGCUGGCGGCAUGCCUAACACAUGCAAGUCGAACGAGACCUUCGGGUCUAGUGGCGCACGGGUGCGUAACGCGUGGGAACCUGCCCUUAGGUUCGGAAUAACUCCCCGAAAGGGGUGCUAAUACCGGAUAAUGUCUUCGGACCAAAGAUUUAUCGCCUUUGGAUGGGCCCGCGUUGGAUUAGAUAGUUGGUAGGGUAAAAGCCUACCAAGGCGACGAUCCAUAGCUGGUCUGAGAGGAUGAUCAGCCACACUGGGACAGAGACACGGCCCAGACUCCUAGGGAAGGAAGCAGUGGGGAAUAAUGGACAAUGGGCGAAAGCCUGAUCCAGCAAUGCCGCGUGAGUGAUGAAGGCGUUAGGGUUGUAAAGCUCUUUUACCCGGGAUGAUAAUGACAGUACCGGGAGAAUAAGCUCCGGCUAACUCCGUG
rnacentral:rRNA from 1 species